rnacentral:rRNA from 1 species
CAGCCGCCACGGGAAUACAGAGGGUGCGAGCGUUAAUCGGAUUUACUGGGCGUAAAGCGUGCGUAGGCGGCUUUUUAAGUCGGAUGUGAAAUCCCUGAGCUUAACUUAGGAAUUGCAUUCGAUACUGGGAAGCUAGAGUAUGGGAGAGGAUGGUAGAAUUCCAGGUGUAGCGGUGAAAUGCGUAGAGAUCUGGAGGAAUACCGAUGGCGAAGGCAGCCAUCUGGCCUAAUACUGACGCUGAGGUACGAAAGCAUGGGGAGCAAACAGGAUUAGAUACCCCCGUAGUCCCUGUCCUUAUACA